GUCUUCGGAGUGUGCUGGAUUCGCACGCGACUCUGCGAAGGUCGAAGACCAGGUUCGAUUCCUGGCGGGGGCAC
rnacentral:tRNA from 1 species